rnacentral:rRNA from 1 species
AACGAACGCUGGCGGCAUGCCUAACACAUGCAAGUCGAACGAGACCUUCGGGUCUAGUGGCGCACGGGUGCGUAACGCGUGGGAAUCUACCCUUAGGUUCGGAAUAACUCAGAGAAAUUUGAGCUAAUACCGGAUGAUGACGUAAGUCCAAAGAUUUAUCGCCUGAGGAUGAGCCCGCUUAGGAUUAGGUAGUUGGUGAGGUAAAGGCUCACCAAGCCGACGAUCCUUAGCUGGUCUGAGAGGAUGAUCAGCCACACUGGGACUGAGACACGGCCCAGACUCCUACGGGAGGCAGCAGUGGGGAAUAUUGGACAAUGGGCGAAAGCCUGAUCCAGCAAUGCCGCGUGAGUGAUGAAGGCCUUAGGGUUGUAAAGCUCUUUUACCCGGGAUGAUAAUGACAGUACCGGGAGAAUAAGCUCCGGCUAACUCCGUG